rnacentral:rRNA from 1 species
GCUCCUUCGACGUUAGCGGCGGACGGGUGAGUAACACGUGGGCAACCUACCUUAUAGUUUGGGAUAACUCCGGGAAACCGGGGCUAAUACCGAAUAAUCUGUUUCACCUCAUGGUGAAACACUGAAAGACGGUUUCGGCUGUCGCUAUAGGAUGGGCCCGCGGCGCAUUAUCUAGUUGGUGAGGUAACGGCUCACCAAGGCGACGAUGCGUAGCCGACCUGAGAGGGUGAUCGGCCACACUGGGACUGAGACACGGCCCAGACUCCUACGGGAGGCAGCAAUAGGGAAUCUUCCACAAUGGGCGAAAGCCUGAUGGAGCAACGCCGCGUGAGUGAAGAAGGAUUUCGGUUCGUAAAACUCUGUUGUAAGGGAAGAACAAGUACAGUAGUAACUGGCUGUACCUUGACGGUACCUUAUUAGAAAGCCACGGCUAACUACGUGCCAGCAGCCGCGGUAAUACGUAGGUGGCAAGCGUUGUCCGGAAUUAUUGGGCGUAAAGCGCGCGCAGGUGGUUUCUUAAGUCUGAUGUGAAAGCCCACGGCUCAACCGUGGAGGGUCAUUGGAAACUGGGAGACUUGAGUGCAGAAGAGGAUAGUGGAAUUCCAAGUGUAGCGGUGAAAUGCGUAUAGAUUUGGAGGAACACCAAUGGCGAAGGCGACUAUCUGGUCUGUAACUGACACUGAGGCGCGAAAGCGUGAGGAGCAAACAGGAUUAGAUACCCUGGUAGUCCACGCCGUAGACGAUGAGUGCUAAGUGUUAGGGGGUUUCCGCCCCUUAGUGCUGCAGCUAACGCAUUAAGCACUCCGCCUGGGGAGUACGGUCGCAAGACUGAGACUCAGAGGAAUUGACGGGCGCCCGCACAAGCGGUGGAGCAUGUGGUUUAAUUCGAAGCAACGCGAAGAACCUUACCAGGUCUUGACAUCCCGUUGACCACUGUAGAGAUAUGGUUUCCCCUUCGGAGGCAACGGUGACAGGUGGUGCAUGGUUGUCGUCACCUCGU